rnacentral:rRNA from 1 species
CAGUAGCCGCGGUAAUACGAAGGGUGCAAGCGUUAAUCGGAAUUACUGGGCGUAAAGCGUGCGUAGGCGGUUUGUUAAGUCUGUUGUGAAAUCCCCGGGCUCAACCUGGGAAUGGCAAUGGAUACUGGCAAGCUAGAGUGUGUCAGAGGAUGGUGGAAUUCCCGGUGUAGCGGUGAAAUGCGUAGAGAUCGGGAGGAACAUCAGUGGCGAAGGCGGCCAUCUGGGACAACACUGACGCUGAGGCACGAAAGCGUGGGGAGCAAACAGGAUUAGAUACCCCAGUAGUCCCUGUCUCUUAUAA